rnacentral:tRNA from 1 species
CGGAACGUAGCUCAAUCUGGCAGAGCAAUGGACUGUAGCUAGUCGCUGCAUUCCAGCCUCUAACGGAUAUCCAUGGGUUGCCGGUUCAAAUCCGGCCGUUCCGACCA